rnacentral:lncRNA from 1 species
GAAGUUAGUCGCGUAAACAUCUAGUAGAGAUGCGAUGAAUGCUAGUUUCUUAAACAUCUCAGAUGUUGAACUUGAGAUGUUCUGUUUAUGUGUGAAUGUGUGAUAUUUGUACAAGGUGGUAGAAUGUAUGAGGCAUUGAGCCACAAUUUGAACACUUUGGUGUUUCUAUGAUUUGAAAUGUUCUGUGAUUGAGUUGUUCAAUACAAG